UACGGGGGGGGCAAGCGUUGUUCGGAAUUACUGGGCGUAAAGGGCGCGUAGGCGGUGUGGCAAGUCAGGUGUGAAACCUCCAGGCUCAACUUGGAGCUUGCAUCUGAAACUGCCGUGCUAGAGUGUGGGAGAGGAGAGUGGAAUUCCUGGUGUAGCGGUGAAAUGCGUAGAUAUCAGGAGGAACACCGAUGGCGAAGGCAGGUCUCAGGGCAUUAACUGACGCUGAGGAGCGAAAGCAUGGGGAGCGAACAGG
rnacentral:rRNA from 1 species